rnacentral:rRNA from 1 species
GUGGGGAAUUUUGGACAAUGGGCGCAAGCCUGAUCCAGCAAUGCCGCGUGCAGGAAGAAGGCCUUCGGGUUGUAAACUGCUUUUGUACGGAACGAAACGGUCCGGGUUAAUACCCUGGGCUAAUGACGGUACCGUAAGAAUAAGCACCGGCUAACUACGUGCCAGCAGCCGCGGUAAUACGUAGGGUGCAAGCGUUAAUCGGAAUUACUGGACGUAAAGCGUGCGCAGGCGGUUUUGUAAGACAGGCGUGAAAUCCCCGGGCUCAACCUGGGAAUUGCGCUUGUGACUGCAAGGCUGGAGUGCGGCAGAGGGGGAUGGAAUUCCGCGUGUAGCAGUGAAAUGCGUAGAUAUGCGGAGGAACACCGAUGGCGAAGGCAAUCCCCUGGGCCUGCACUGACGCUCAUGCACGAAAGCGUGGGGAGCAAACAGGAUUAGAAACCCGAGUAGUCC